GUAGGGGGCGAGCGUUGUCCGGAAUUAUUGGGCGUAAAGAGCUCGUAGGCAGCUCGGUAAGUCGGGCGUGAAAUUUACAGGGCUCAACCCUGAAACGCCGUCCGAUACUGCCAUGGCUAGAGUCCGGUAGAGGAGCGUGGAAUUCCCAGUGUAGCGGUGAAAUGCGCAGAUAUUGGGAGGAACACCAACGGCGAAGGCAGCGCUCUGGGCCGGUACUGACGCUGAGGAGCGAAAGCGUGGGGUAGCAAACAGGAUUAGAUACCCUGGUAGUCCACGCCGUAAACGUUGGGCACUAGGUGUGGGACCCUCUUCAACGGGUUCCGUGCCGCAGCUAACGCAUUAAGUGCCCCCGCCCUGGGGAGUACGCCCGCAAGGCUA
rnacentral:rRNA from 1 species